rnacentral:lncRNA from 1 species
AUAGAAUUGACUAAAAUUACCCUUAUAGUAAUCCAAGCGCUCAGAGUGUUGAUGAAUAAUAUCAGUAGCAACUUCAUUCAAGAAAGAACGAUCGUGUGAAACGACUAAAACGAUAUUUUUAUAAGUUUGUAAAUAUUCAGAUAAGAAAGCAAUUGAGGGAACGUCAAGCAUGUUCGAAGGUUCAUCCAAAAGUAGUAAAUCUGGUUGACAAAACAGAGCACGUGCCAAUGACAAACGCAUACGCCAACCACCUGAAAAAGUCUUGGUAGCAUGGCUUUGCAUUUCUUGAGUAAAUCCAAGACCAGCUAAAAUAGUAGCAGCGCGUGAUUCUGCUCUAUCAGAGUCCAUCUCGGAAAGCUUAUUUUGAAUAUCUAACAACCGUAAAUCAAGUUCGUCUCGUUCACGCUCAAGGCGACGGGAAAUAGCUUGAUCAGCAGUUUGGUCUUUACUAAGUUCUUCCAAUUCUUUUUCAAUCGUUGAUAGACGAUUAGUUAUCUUUUCCUGGUCCUGAAUCAAAUACUUGCGCCAAACAUCGGCAUCCAAAACUGACUGUAGGGCAGGUGUAUCAUCACCUGUCAUUUCUUGCUCAACAUGAAGAAUGGUAAUAUGGGUAGGAAUCGCAAUUUCACGGCGAGAAAGAGCACGUAGAAGAGUAGAUUUACCGAUACCGUUGCGACCAGUUAAACCGUAUCGUCUACCCUGUGCAAGUGUCAACGAAGCACCAGUCAAUAUACGAUGACCAGCAAAAGCAAGAUCAAUUCCAUCAAUUUUAAUAUCUUUCGAUUUUCCUUGGUUACUUCCGGAUAAAUCUAGAGGAUUUACAGCCAUGUAAAACUCUUCAUAAGACUUUUGUUCGGGUUGAACCAACUUUGAAGAUUCGUAUUCUGCUUUGAUAGUACGUUUCUCCCAUUUGGCACGAAUCUUCCGUUCAGCCUUCUCUAAUUUUCUUCUAUCUACCCUAGAUUCAACCUUACGGCCCUUUACAGCAUCUAAUUCCAUCUUUUCGCCAACCAAACCCAUAGUUGACGAAAUUUCGGAUUGGGAAUCCAUUCGAAUAGUCUCCUUCAAACGAACAAGUCCAUUCGUUUGUAAUGUAUCUAGAUGUUCCUCUCUUUCUUUAAAUUGUUUCUCUAGUUCGUUUUGUAUGAGCUGUACCGCUUCCUCACGAGCGCCAGCAUCUAGCAAUAAAUUACGAAUGAGAGAGAUCGUAUGGUCUGAAGCCUCAUCUACAUCUUUAAUAGCAUCAUUAGCAUAUCCAGUGCAGUAGCUGAGGACAUGAGGGUCUACUUCAGAGCAAUUAUUCUGAAUGACUUGCUCCAUGUUGGAUGUGAGGUGGAUAGUACUAAGCAAGUUAUACUACUGCUAUAUAUGAAGCCUCAAUCGGCAAAACGAUGAGACUAGGCAUGAAAAUAUACUAAAUACCUUAUAAUAGUGAAUUAUAUAUUUUUUUAAGAAAAAAAAUUACAAUUCCAAGAAAACUACUGUGAACUUUACUGAUAUUUUUAAUGACCCACAGUAGACAUCAAAUUUUAUCAAGCUAAUCCUUAUUGUUGAAUAAAAGCAAUUGUAUUGAGUUGAUAUAAAUUGAAAAAAAAAAUCCAAAUGUGAACUCAAUAGAAAUACUUUGCAAAGAGAAAAACAUCUCAACUCAAUGAAAGUGGUUUUCUAUCAAUCAAGGCAACAACUGUUUCGUGCCGUAAUCGAAGAGACGACUAAGCAUUGAAUUCAGCUAUGUUCAAAGACAUUUAGAAAGCAGAAAAAGGAUACGUUAACCUAGAAUAUAAAUCAUAGUGAGACGGGAGUUAUAGAGAUACAUCCACGUUCGUGGUCAAUCAAAAGAAGGAUCAGACAAAGGCAUGAAAUAGAUAUAAAAUCAAAUCUCAACGACGUAGAUGAAAAUGUAAAUUCAUAAUCGGAAAAUA